rnacentral:misc_RNA from 1 species
CUCGGUCCACCGGCACUGCCUCAUCAAUUUAUUUAUUUAUAUUUAUUUAUUGCUGCCGCGUCCACCGUCCGUCCCCAAACCCUACCGCAGUCGCCGCCACCGUCUCCCCUCCUGAUCCAAUCCAAUGGCGCGCCUCCACCUCGUGGCCGUGGCAAUGGGCUUGCUCUUGGCCUUGACGACGGCGCAGGCACCGGGCGCGUCCACGAUGCCCGCGCCCAUGGCGCAGCCUCCGGCGACCUCGGCGCCUCCUCGUCCCGCGCCAUCCCCGACCCAGAAGACCGCUCCAGCUCCGGCGCCCAAUGCCACGGUACCCGCCCCCGCCUCGCCGCCGGCGCCGAGCUCUAUCGGGCAGACGCCGACCGAGGCGCCGUCCUCCCCUCCGCCGCCCAGCGCCGCGUCCAGCGUUGCCUCCGCCUUGUACGUGGCCGCCGCUAUGGCGGCUGUCGUGUUUUUCUUCUGAGGUCGGUACUCGGCGCCGAUGGAUCCGCCGCCUAUGGUAUGGUACGGUGCGGUGUGGAUUUGACACGAUGGCUCCCGCUACCGCUGGUCGAGUUUGCUUAUUAGGAUACUAGUAGUUAAUUAAUAGUUGGGUUGAUCAGAUCAGAUCUAGCG